rnacentral:rRNA from 1 species
UACAGAGGUCCCAAGCGUUGUUCGGAUUCACUGGGCGUAAAGGGUGCGUAGGCGGUCGGGUAAGUCUGAUGUGAAAUCUCACAGCUUAACUGUGAAACUGCAUUGGAUACUAUCCGGCUUGAGGAAUGGAGGGGAGACUGGAAUACUUGGUGUAGCAGUGAAAUGCGUAGAUAUCAGGAGGAACACCUGUGGUGUAGACAGCUUACUGGACCAUUUCUGACGCUGAGACACGAAAGCGUGGGUAGCAAACAGG